CUAAUACCGCAUGAGACUACAGAGCUGCAUGGCUCAGUGGUCAAAGGAAGCAAUCCGCUGAAAGAUGGACUCGCGUCCGAUUAGAUAGUAGGCGGGGUAACGGGCCCACCUAGUCGACGAUCGGUAGCCGGACUGAGAGGUUGAACGGCCACAUUGGGACUGAGACACGGCCCAGACUCCUACGGGAGGCAGCAUG
rnacentral:rRNA from 1 species